rnacentral:lncRNA from 1 species
GGCGCGGACGCUUGUGCCGGAAGUAAACUUGUUAACGGUUCUUUGCCUUUUGGGGAGGGGAGACAGCCCAGAGAAGGCUUUGGAGACCCUUGAGUCGGCCAGCGAGCAGGGUUUCUUACUUGAGCGCCUCCACAAAUAAACGCUCCUUCGCUCCUCCGUCGCGUGCGUUUCCCUGGGAUAAUAAGUGGGAAAGUGGUGGCUUUUAUUUUUUUGAGACAGGGUCUCACCGCCGUCGCCCAGGCCGGAUGGAGUGCAGUGGCGCGAUCACGGCUCACUGCAGCCUCGACUUCCCAGGCUCAGAGAUGGGUUUCACCAUGUUUCCCAGCCUUGUCUCAAACUCCUGACCUCAAGUGAUCCGCCGUCUUGGGUCUUCGAAAGUGCUGGGACAGCAGGAGUGAGCCACCGCAUCUGGCCCGGAAAGUGUUUUGGAGCGUAGAAAAAUGCAAAUUAUAGGGCUGCCUUCAAGGAUCCCGAAGGACCCACAGAUUUGCCGCAUCAGGCUCCUAUGCACGCCGAAAUGCCCAGGAGGAUUGACGAGAUUGAGGUCAAGAUCGUGGCCCAGUGUGUGGCGCUCCAAGCCAGCUCUUCCCCUUUCAAAACCAGAAAAGCCGCAUGUUUAGAUCGCUCUAGGAGAUUCAUCUCCAUUACGAUACAGGAUAUGGGCUGUUUGAAAACUAUUUCAUCAUCUUUAUCAUCAUCAUUCAGUUCAGCCACUUGAGAUUUUCGCCUCUCCAAAAAUGUUGGUGUACAAACUGGUGUGGGGCCCUGGAUUCAACAAGUAAAGAUUAUAAUACAUAAAUGUAAAACAUGAUUAUGACUUUACCCAAAAAUAUCAUCUCUCCUCUAUUUUUACAAGUUGUGCCCCAUUAUUUUAGCUCUGUUACCAUCUUUUGGUGAUACUAUUGCAAAGAAUAAAGAACUUAGAUGCUUAUCAAACUUGGUACAGAAAUUCACAAUUAACAAAUAUAGCAUGUUCCAUUAUAAGGUUUUAGGCAGAAAAUUGCUAAAUCAACAAUAAAGAUCUACCAAAUGUCACAAUAUUUAAUUUGAAAUCUUAAAAUGAGAGUAGCAGAAACUGCUUCUCCUCCUUCAAAUUAUUUCUAUAAUAUCUGGUGUCUGGAGUAUUGAAAACCAUUUUACCUGGCUAUCCACAGUCUUCUCAGGAGUGUCAAGAGUACCUGAAACUUUUUUCUUCUUCUUACGUAAAACCUUAAAAUAAAUUUUAAAACACAUCAAUUUGAAUAUUGAUCAGCUACAGUAGUCUUGAAUAUGUUUUCCUACUUAUCCUUCUCUAAUAUCUUGCAUGUAAAAUGAUAAAAAAAAUUUUACCUGGCCUUUUGUAGACGUCUGACGAUUAGUUUUUGAAAUACUUUCCGUUUUCUGUAAAAUCUUUAAUAAAGAAGUUAGAAAUUGACA